CAAUAGCGUAUAUUAAAGUUGUUGCAGUUAAAAAACUCGUAGUUGGAUUUCUGGUUGAAGCGACCGGUCGGGCGUUGAUUCGUCUGCACUGGAGUCGGUUUUGGCCAUCCUCUAGGAAAGUGCGUCUGGUAUUAAGUUAUCGGGCGUAUGAUCCUGGUCUUUUACUGUGAAAAAAUUAGAGUGUUUAAAGCAGGCCUUCGCCUUGAAUACAUUAGCAUGGAAUAAUAAGAUAGGACUUUGGUCUAUUUUGUUGGUUUGCAGACCGAAGUAAUGAUUAAUAGGGAUAGUUGGGGGUAUUUAUAUUCCGAUGUCAGAGGUGAAAUUCUUAGAUUUUCGGAAGAUAAACUUAUGCGAAAGCAUUUACCAAGGAUGUUUUCAUUAA
rnacentral:rRNA from 1 species